rnacentral:rRNA from 1 species
AGGUUGCUCCGUGAAUCAAUUGAACGCAUGGUGGCAUGCUUUACACAUGCAAGUCGAACGGUAACAGGCCGCAAGGUGCUGACGAGUGGCCAACGGGUGAGUAAUGCAUCGGAACGUGCCCAGUCGUGGGGGAUAACGCAGGCGAAAGCUGUGCUAAUACCGCAUACGAUCUAUGGAUGAAAGCGGGGGGACCGUAAGGCCUCCCGCGAUUGGAGCGGCCGAUGUCAGAUUAGCUAGUUUGGUGGGGUAAAGGCCCACCAAGGCGACGAUCUGUAGCUGGUCUGAGAGGACGACCCAGCCACACUGGGAAUGAGACACGGCCCAGACUCCUACGGGAGGCAGCAGUGGGGAAUUUUGGACAAUGGGCGCAAGCCUGAUCCAGCAAUGCCGCGUGCAGGAAGAAGGCCUUCGGGUUGUAAACUGCUUUUGUACGGAACGAAACGGUUCGGGUUAAUACCCUGGGCUUAAUGACGGUACCGUAAGAAUAAGCACCGGCUAACUACGUGCCAGCAGCCGCGGUAAUACGUAGGGUGCAAGCGUUAAUCGGAAUUACUGGGGCGUAAAGCGUGCGCAGGCGGUUUUGUAAGACAGGCGUGAAAUCCCCGGGCUCAACCUGGGAAUUGCGCUUGUGACUGCAAAGCUGGAGUGCGGCAGAGGGGGAUGGAAUUCCGCGUGUAGCAGUGAAAUGCGUAGAUAUGCGGAGGAACACCGAUGGCGAAGGCAAUCCCCUGGGCCUGCACUGAACGCUCAUGCACGAAAGCGUGGGGAGCAAACAGGAUUAGAUACCCUGGUAGUCCACGCCCUAAACGAUGUCAACUGGUUGUUGGGUCUCUUCUGACUCAGUAACGAAGCUAACGCGUGAAGUUGACCGCCUGGGGAGUACGGCCGCAAGGUUGAAACUCAUAUGAUUGCGGAAGGCGAAUCCGCCCUCAAUCAUUCCC